UACGGGAGGGGGCUAGCGUUGUUCGGAAUUACUGGGCGUAAAGCGCGCGUAGGCGGCUUUGUAAGUUAGAGGUGAAAGCCCGGAGCUCAACUCCGGAAUUGCCUUUAAGACUGCAUCGCUAGAAUCAUGGAGAGGUGAGUGGAACUGCGAGUGUAGAGGUGAAAUUCGUAGAUAUUCGCAAGAACACCAGUGGCGAAGGCGGCUCACUGGCCCGGUACUGACGCUGAGGUGCGAAAGCGUGGGGAGCAAACAGG
rnacentral:rRNA from 1 species